GCUGGGUGCGGUGGCACACCUGUAAUCCCAGUGACUUGGGAGGCUGAAGCAGGAGGUUAGCGAGUUCAAAACCAGCCUCAGUGAAAGAGAGGCACUUAGCAACUGGGUGAGAUCCUGUCUCUA
rnacentral:sRNA from 1 species